AAAAAAAGGAUAAUUAUGUAAUGUGAUAGAGGUGCCAAUUAUUGCAACAAUGGAAAUCAUAUUACAAUAUAUAAAUGUAACAAAUUAACAUGUUAUACACCUUAAAUUUACACAAUAUUAUAUGUCAAAUAUAUUUCAAAAAAAAAGAAAAGCAGAACAUUAGCAGCACCCUAGAAGCCUCCGUUCUGCCCCCUGUCAUUCCCUGACCCCAAAGUAAUUACUAUCCUGACUCCUAACAACCUAGAUUAUAUUCACAUAUUAUUGAACAUUUUAUGAGAUCAUACAGUAUAUAUCCUGGUGGGUAUGUAUGCAACAGUAGAAUCACUGGGUUAUAGGAUUUGGCGUAUGUUUAGCUUUAGGAAACAUUACCAAACCAUUUUCCAGAAAGUGUUGUUCAGUUUAUAUUCCCAUCAGCCAUAUAUGAGAGUUCUGGUUCUUCUGUAUCUUCAAAAAUACUUAGUAUUUUUUUUUCAUUUUAGUCAUUCUAGUGAGUGUUGUACACAUAUUUCAACAAAGCAAAGAAGGAUAGAGUAAAUGAUACCAUUUAAAUGUCUCUUGCUCUUCUCCUCAGUGACUAGAGAACCCAUGUGAGAGCAAAUACUAAGCAGUCGAUAUGUAGAUCUCAGUCCCUGUGUGCUGGCUGAGCGUGACGGUGGCAUUUAGUGAUACACGUUAUUUUUUAUACAACAUGGGCCUCUAACAAUCUAAUGACUUCAUCUGGUACUCACCCAUUGAAAGAGUCGUUUCAAUUCUGGAGGAUAAUCUGGCUGUGCAGACAGAUAGGUUAUACUUAGGUCUCAAAAUGGCCUAUUUCUAAGCAAUUUUGAUCACAUCUGACCUCCUCCUUAUUUGCUGACCUUGAAACCUAACCUCACUUCAGAUUUAUGCAUUUGAAGGGGGCGGGGGAAGUGGGUGAGGUGAGAAGACAACAAAACACACCAGCCCCUCUAGAAAGUCAGGUUUACAUAGACUCAUACUAUCUUGGUGUCCAAAAUGGAAACUGAGGCCCAAUGAGGUUUGCUGGUGUGUCAGGCCUAGACCUUUUGACUCCAAGAUCAGUGUAAGCUUUCCUAGGCCACUUGUCAGUCCACAAAGGUAAUCUCUUCUACCCUCAUUUGCACUGGGUCACAUUCUCUGAGCUGCACAGCCACUGCUGAAAGCUUUGGGGUGAGGACACAUUUGGUUUGCUCAUUUCCUUAAAGCAGGCCCCCUAGUUGUUUCCUAAUGUAUGGAGAUAUCCUGUUUCAAACGACCUGCAAGAAAAGACAGACAGGCUGUUACGAUCUCUCUCGUGGGCAUUGUGCAGAUAUGAAGCUAUUGUCUCCCAGCUUAAAUCCCACCCUUUUAUACACUAGUUUGUGACGCUUGGGCUGCGAGCACACCAGCUUGGCUCUGCUAUAGGCGGCAUCAGAGGGAGACUGGAAGGCAAGAGGAGAGAGCAGGGGAGACUUGCUGCUUCUACCACGCUUCCUAGUCUGUCCGCAUCACUCCAUCACUCCAGUCUUCCUUCUUAACUCCACCAGUCGGUGUCAUCCAGUAGCAACAGCAUUCACUGCCUGCCGGGCGCUGUGCUCACUGUCUUACAGGCACUCCUCACAGCAGCAGUAGCAGAAUGACGUUACCAAGAUGGUGACAUACGACAUUCCUGACUUGGCUCCCUCUCACAAGAACAUUUAACAACUAUUCAUGAACAAGACAGCACUGAGAGAAUCCUACAACACAAGGGUGAGGCUGAAGCCCCUCUGCACCAUAGAGACCAAGACAGACCGCGUUAGAAGGCUAAGAGGAUUGGCCACAUGCUGUCUGCUUCACUCCUCUCCAGGCUGGCCCAGCACCACACUGAGAGGUCUCCCCUGGGCCUACAGUUCCUCCAGGAGGAAAAGAAAGCCCAGAAUGGACAUCCAGCUGCCUCAGUGUUGUGGAUCACAUCUUGGGAGCCCUCACUCUGAUCUUACCCCACAGGGAUUGCAGGAGAAUCUGUGGGGCCCGUCCACUGGGGAUCAGAUUGUGAUGGAGAAGCGGGGAGGGGCUUGCAACAAUCAGCACUCAGAUCUUGCAGACAGAGUUCCUACCUG
rnacentral:lncRNA from 1 species